GAUGAACGCUAGCGGCAGGCCUAAUACAUGCAAGUCGAACGGUGUCUUCGGACAUAGUGGCGCACGGGUGCGUAACACGUAUGCAACCUACCUUACAUUGGGGGAUAGCCUUUCGAAAGGGAGAUUAAUACCGCAUAAGACAGUAGCUGGGCAUCCAGCAGCUGUUAAAGAUUUAUCGAUGUAAGCUGGGCAUGCGUCCAAUUAGCUAGUUGGUGAGGUAACGGCUCACCAAGGCAAUGAUUGGUAGGGGAACUGAGAGGUCAAUCCCCCGCACUGGCACUGAGAUACGGGCCAGACUCCUACGGGAGGCAGCAGUAGGGAAUAUUGGGCAAUGGACGCAAGUCUGACCCAGCCAUGCCGCGUGCAGGAUGAAGGCGUUAUGCGUUGUGAACUGCUUUUAUACAGGAAGAAACGACUCUUGCGAGAGGCAUUGACGGUACUGUAUGAAUAAGCACCGGCUAACUCCGUGCCAGCCGCCGCAGUAAGAC
rnacentral:rRNA from 1 species